GCAAGUCGAACGGAAAGGCUCCUUGCUUGCAAGGGGUACUCGAGUGGCGAGCGGGUGAGUAACACGUGGGUGAUCUGCCUUGCACUUCGGGAUAAGCCUGGGAAACUGGGUCUAAUACCGGAUAGGACCAUGCUUUAGUGUGUGUGGUGGAAAGUUUUUUCGGUGCAAGAUGAGCCCGCGGCCUAUCAGCUUGUUGGUGGGGUAAUGGCCUACCAAGGCGACGACGGGUAGCCGGCCUGAGAGGGUGUACGGCCACAUUGGGACUGAGACACGGCCCAGACUCCUACGGGAGGCAGCAGUGGGGAAUAUUGCACAAUGGGCGCAAGCCUGAUGCAGCGACGCCGCGUGGGGGAUGACGGCCUUCGGGUUGUAAACUCCUUUCGCUAGGGAAGAAGCCACUGUGUGGUGACGGUACCUGGAUAAGAAGCACCGGCUAACUACGUGCCAGCAGCCGCGGUAAUACGUAGGGUGCGAGCGUUGUCCGGAAUUACUGGGCGUAAAGAGCUCGUAGGUGGUUUGUCGCGUCGUCUGUGAAAUCCCGGGGCUUAACUUCGGGCGUGCAGGCGAUACGGGCAUAACUAGAGUGCUGUAGGGGAGACUGGAAUUCCUGGUGUAGCGGUGAAAUGCGCAGAUAUCAGGACGAACACCGAUGGCGAAGGCAGGUCUCUGGGCAGUUACUGACGCUGAGGAGCGAAAGCA
rnacentral:rRNA from 1 species